rnacentral:rRNA from 1 species
UACAGAGGGUGCGAGCGUUAAUCGGAAUUACUGGGCGUAAAGCGCACGUAGGCGGCUUGGUAUGUCGGGUGUGAAAUCCCCGGGCUCAACCUGGGAACUGCAUCCGAAACUGCCUUGCUCGAGUAUGGGAGAGGGAAGUGGAAUUUCCGGUGUAGCGGUGAAAUGCGUAGAUAUCGGAAGGAACACCGGUGGCGAAGGCGGCUCUCUGGGCCUUACCUGACGCUGAGGAGCGAAAGCGUGGGUAGCGAACAGG